GCACCUUACUGGAUUCUUCGGAUGAAGGUCUGGUGACUGAGUGGCGGACGGGUGAGUAACGCGUGGGUAACCUGCCCUGUACAGGGGGAUGACAGCUGGAAACGGCUGCUAAUACCGCAUAAGCGCACGAGGAGACAUCUCCUUGUGUGAAAAACUUCGGUGGUACAGGAUGGGCCCGCGUCUGAUUAGCUGGUUGGCAGGGUAACGGCCUACCAAGGCAACGAUCAGUAGCCGGUCUGAGAGGAUGAACGGCCACAUUGGAACUGAGACACGGUCCAAACUCCUACGGGAGGCAGCAGUGGAGAAUAUUGCACAAUGGGGGAAACCCUGAUGCAGCAACGCCGCGUGAGUGAAGAAGUAUUUCGGUAUGUAAAGCUCUAUCAGCAGGGAAGAUAAUGACGGUACCUGACUAAGAAGCUCCGGCUAAAUACGUGCCAGCAGCCGCGGUAAUACGUAUGGAGCAAGCGUUAUCCGGAUUUACUGGGUGUAAAGGGUGCGUAGGUGGCAGUGCAAGUCAGAUGUGAAAGGCCGGGGCUCAACCCCGGAGCUGCAUUUGAAACUGCAUAGCUAGAGUACAGGAGAGGCAGGCGGAAUUCCUAGUGUAGCGGUGAAAUGCGUAGAUAUUAGAGGAACACCAGUGGCGAAGCGGCCUGCUGGACUGUUACUGACACUGAGCACGAAAGCGUGGGGAGCAAACAGAUUAGAUACCCUGGUAGUCCACGCCGUAAACGAUGAUACUA
rnacentral:rRNA from 1 species